rnacentral:rRNA from 1 species
UACGUAGGGUGCAAGCGUUGUCCGGAAUUAUUGGGCGUAAAGAGCUCGUAGGCGGUUUGUCGCGUCUGCUGUGAAAACUCGGGGCUUAACCCCGGGCCUGCAGUGGGUACGGGCAGACUUGAGUCCGGUAGGGGACCAUGGAAUUCCUGGUGUAGCGGUGAAAUGCGCAGAUAUCAGGAGGAACACCGGUGGCGAAGGCGGUGGUCUGGGCCGGCACUGACGCUGAGGAGCGAAAGCGUGGGGAGCGAACAGG